rnacentral:rRNA from 2 species
GGUUUUUUGCUUAUAUAAAAGAUUUAACCUGCCCAAUGAUUAUUUUAAUGGCUGCAGUAUUUUGACUGUACAAAGGUAGCAUAAUCAUUUGUCUUUUAAUUGAAGUCUGGUAUGAAUGGUUGGAUGAAAAAUUUACUUUCUUUAAUUUAAAAUUAAAAUUUAAUUUCUAAAUCAAAAAGUCUAGAUUUUAUUAUAGGACGAGAAGACCCUAUAGAACUUUACUUUCCCUAAAAAAAUUAUCUUUUUGUAAAUAAUUUUUCAUUAUUUUAGGAAAAGUUUUAUUGGGGUGAUAAAAAAAAUAUUUUAACUUUUUUUAUUUUUUUCACUUUUUUGUGUGUUUUUGAUCUUUUAUUAGGGAAAAUAAGGUUAAGUUACCUUAGGGAUAACAGCGUUAUUACCUUGAAGAGUUCUUAUCGAAAAGGUAGUUUGCGACCUCGAUGUUGGAUUAAAAUUAGCAUCAGGGGUAGAAUAUUGAUUGCUAGGUCUGUUCGACCUUUAAAUUUUUACA